rnacentral:SRP_RNA from 2 species
GCUAGGCAUGGUGGUGUACACCUGUAGUUCCAGCUACCUGGGAGGCUGAGGUAGGAGGGUCGAUUGACCCUGGGAGUUCUGGGCCACAGUGAGCUAUGAUUACACCUAUGAAUAGCCACUGCACUCCAGCCUGGGCAACAUAGUGAGAUCCUGUCUCUA